rnacentral:rRNA from 1 species
AUUGAACGCUGGCGGCAGGCCUAACACAUGCAAGUCGAGCGGAUGAAGGGAGCUUGCUCCUGGAUUCAGCGGCGGACGGGUGAGUAAUGCCUAGGAAUCUGCCUGGUAGUGGGGGAUAACGUCCGGAAACGGGCGCUAAUACCGCAUACGUCCUGAGGGAGAAAGUGGGGGAUCUUCGGACCUCACGCUAUCAGAUGAGCCUAGGUCGGAUUAGCUAGUUGGUGGGGUAAAGGCCUACCAAGGCGACGAUCCGUAACUGGUCUUAGAGGAUGAUCAGUCACACUGGAACUGAGACACGGUCCAGAGUCCUACGGGAGGCAGCAGUGGGGAAUAUUGGACGAUGGGCGAAAGCCUGAUCCAGCCAUGCCGCGUGUGUGAAGAAGGUCUUCGGAUUGUAAAGCACUUUAAGUUGGGAGGAAGGGCAGUAAGUUAAUACCUUGCUGUUUUGACGUUACCAACAGAAUAAGCACCGGCUAACUUCGUG